AAUAGAUACCCGGGUAGUCCACGCCCUAAACGAUGUCAACUAGCUGUUGGGGGCUUCGGCCUUUGGUAGCGCAGCUAACGCGUGAAGUUGACCGCCUGGGGAGUACGGUCGCAAGAUUAAAACUCAAAGGAAUUGACGGGGACCCGCACAAGCGGUGGAUGAUGUGGAUUAAUUCGAUGCAACGCGAAAAACCUUACCUACCCUUGACAUGUCUGGAAUCCCGAAGAGAUUUGGGAGUGCUCGCAAGAGAACCGGAACACAGGUGCUGCAUGGCUGUCGUCAGCUCGUGUCGUGAGAUGUUGGGUUAAGUCCCGCAACGAGCGCAACCCUUGUCAUUAGUUGCUACGAAAGGGCACUCUAAUGAGACUGCCGGUGACAAACCGGAGGAAGGUGGGGAUGACGUCAAGUCCUCAUGGCCCUUAUGGGUAGGGCUUCACACGUCAUACAAUGGUCGGGACAGAGGGUCGCCAACCCGGCGAGGGGGAGCCAAUCCCAGAAACCCGAUCGUAGUCCGGAUCGCAGUCUGCAA
rnacentral:rRNA from 1 species